AAUGCCUCUCAUGUCAUCUGAUUGGAUAAGCCAAGCAGGGUUGAGGCAGUGGUGGGUACCCAGUUGGGAGACCACCUGGGAAUAAUGCCAGUAGGUUUUG
rnacentral:rRNA from 1 species